rnacentral:rRNA from 1 species
UGGUAAUGCCGGAUGCUCCGGUUGGAUGCAUGUCCUUCCGGGAAAGAUUCCAUCGGUAUGGGAUGGGGUCGCGUCCUAUCAGCUUGAUGGCGGGGUAACGGCCCACCAUGGCUUCGACGGGUAGCCGGCCUGAGAGGGCGACCGGCCACAUUGGGACUGAGAUACGGCCCAGACUCCUACGGGAGGCAGCAGUGGGGAAUAUUGCACAAUGGGCGCAAGCCUGAUGCAGCGACGCCGCGUGCGGGAUGGAGGCCUUCGGGUUGUAAACCGCUUUUGAUCGGGAGCAAGCCCUUCGGGGUGAGUGUACCCUUCGAAUAAGCACCGGCUAACUACGUGCCAGCAGCCGCGGUAAUACGUAGGGUGCAAGCGUUAUCCGGAAUUAUUGGGCGUAAAGGGCUCGUAGGCGGUUCGUCGCGUCCGGUGUGAAAGCCCAUCGCUUAACGGUGGGUCUGCGCCGGGUACGGGCGGGCUGGAGUGCGGUAGGGGAGACUGGAAUUCCCGGUGUAACGGUGGAAUGUGUAGAUAUCGGAAAA